rnacentral:rRNA from 1 species
ACGCUCGACACCUACGGUAGGCAGCAGUGGGGAAUAUUGCACAAUGGGGGAAACCCUGAUGCAGCGACGCCGCGUGAAGGAAGAAGUAUUUCGGUAUGUAAACUUCUAUCAGCAGGGAAGAAGAAAGUGACGGUACCUGACUAAGAAGCCCCGGCUAACUACGUGCCAGCAGCCGACGGUAAUCUGAGCGGGCUGGCAAGGC